AAUAUAAAUAGGAUAAUCUAUAAUCCGUAGACCUUCAAAGUCUGAAAUAAUCUGUAGGAUUUUGUAUUG
rnacentral:tRNA from 1 species